rnacentral:rRNA from 1 species
AGUGAACGCUGGCGGUAGGCCUAACACAUGCAAGUCGAACGGCAGCACAGGAGAGCUUGCUCUCUGGGUGGCGAGUGGCGGACGGGUGAGGAAUACAUCGGAAUCUACUCUGUCGUGGGGGAUAACGUAGGGAAACUUACGCUAAUACCGCAUACGACCUACGGGUGAAAGCAGGGGGCCUUCGGGCCUUGCGCGAUUGAAUGAGCCGAUGUCGGAUUAGCUAGUUGGCGGGGUAAAGGCCCACCAAGGCGACGAUCCGUAGCUGGUCUGAGAGGAUGAUCAGCCACACUGGAACUGAGACACGGUCCAGACUCCUACGGGAGGCAGCAGUGGGGAAUAUUGGACAAUGGGCGCAAGCCUGAUCCAGCCAUACCGCGUGGGUGGAGAAGGCCUUCGGGUUGUAAAGCCCUUUCGUUGGGAAAGAAAUCCAGCUGGCUAAUACCCGGUUGGGAUGACGGUACCCAAAGAAUAAGCACCGGCUAACUUCGUGCCAGCCGCCGCCGUAA